rnacentral:ncRNA from 1 species
ACGAAAAAUAACAAUGCAGGACUCGUUCGAGGCCCUGUAAUUGGAAUGAGUACACUUUAAAAGCUUUAACGAGUAUCCAUUGGAGGGCAAGUCUGGUGCCAGCAGCCGCGGUAAUUCCAGCUCCAAAAGUAUAUAUUUAAGUUGUUGCGGUUAAAAAGCUCGUAGUUGGAUUUUGGGCGCAGGCGGCCGGUCCGUCGCAAGGCGUGUACUGGACGUCCUGGCCUUCCCUCCGGUUCUCCGCCGGUGCUCUUGACUGAGUGUCGGCGGCGGCCGGAACGUUUACUUUGAAAAAAUUAGAGUGUUCAAAGCAGGCUCUCGAGCCUGGAUAAUGGUGCAUGGAAUAAUGGAAUAGGACCUCGGUUCUAUUUUGUUGGUUUUCGGAGCGCGAGGUAAUGAUUAAGAGGGACAGACGGGGGCAUUCGUACUGUGCCGUUAGAGGUGAAAUUCUUGGAUCGGCGCAAGACGAACGACUGCGAAAGCAUUUGCCAAGAAUGUUUUCUUUAAUCAAGAGCGAAAGUCAGAGGUUCGAAGACGAUCAGAUACCGUCCUAGUUCUGACUAUAAACGAUGCCAACUAGCGAUCGGGGGGCGUUACAUUGACGACCCCUCCGGCAGCUUACGGGAAACCAAAGUCUUUGGGUUCCGGGGAGAAGUAUGGUUGCAAAGCUGAAACUUAAAGGAAUUGACGGAAGGGCACCACCAGGAGUGGAGCCUGCGGCUUAAUUUGACUCAACACGGGAAAUCU